rnacentral:tRNA from 1 species
GUUGUGGCUCAGAGGUAGAGUGCUCGCCUAGCAUGUGUGAGGCACUAGGUUCAAUCCUAAGCAUCACA